rnacentral:rRNA from 1 species
UAAUACGUAGGGAGCGAGCGUUGCUCGGAAUCACUGGGCAUAAAGGGCGUGUAGGUGGGGUCGUAAGUUGAAUGUGGAAGCCCCCGGCUCAACUGGGGAGGUGCAUUCAAAACUGCGGCUCUUGAGUGUGGGAGAGGAGAGUGGAACUCCUGGUGGAGCGGUGAAAUGCGUAGAUAUCAGGAGGAACGCCGGUGGCGAAAGCGACUCUCUGGCCCAUUACUGACACUGAGGCGCGAAAGCUAGGGUAGCGAACGGGAUUAGAUACCCCGGUAGUCCUAGCCGUAAACGAUGGGCACUAGGUAGAGGGGACAUCCGAUGUUUUCUCUGCUGAAGCUAAUGUGAUAAGUGCCCCGCCUGGGGAGUACGGUCGCAAGGCUG